UACGGAGGGUGCAAACGUUGCUCGGAAUCAUUGGGCGUAAAGCGCACGUAGGCGGCCUGUUAAGUCGGGUGUGAAAUCCCUCGGCUCAACCGAGGAAGUGCAUUCGAAACUGGCGGGCUUGAGUAUGGAAGAGGGUCGUGGAAUUCCCGGUGUAGAGGUGAAAUUCGUAGAUAUCGGGAGGAACACCAGUGGCGAAGGCGGCGACCUGGGCCAAUACUGACGCUGAGGUGCGAAAGCGUGGGGAGCAAACAGG
rnacentral:rRNA from 1 species